rnacentral:tRNA from 1 species
GGGUCUCUGGUGUAUGUGGUCGGCACAAAGGUCUGAAAAACCUUAGGUCGCAGUUCGAUUCUGCGGGGACCCACCA